ensembl:misc_RNA Metazoa_SRP Metazoan signal recognition particle RNA
GCCGGGCACAAUGGCUCAUGCCUGUAAUCCCAGCACUUUGGGAGGCUGAGGUGGGAGGAUCACUUGAGCCCAGGAGUUUGAGACCAGCCUGGGCAACAUAGUGAGACCCUAUCUCUC